AACCAUUGUCGAAUGUUGCACAACUACUACUAUGUAGCUCCAGAGAGACAACCCUCAACAGACGACGCGGCGAGGAAUGACUUCCAAUGUGCUUUGCGGCAAUCAACCGUACUCGAUAAACGGCAAAGGGAAGGAAGCAUGGAAAUCAUAGUAUGAAUAGCAUGGGGCGUCUCCUUGACGGUCUUGUCCUUCAACGUCAGCGAUGGUGCGGGGUCCAUGGGCCUCUGAGGACCACAGUACACAGGGCAGGCUCUAAUCCCGAUAGCGACGAGGGCUCAACGUCUUAGAUGACACUUGGCGCGAUAAGACGGCGAUGGGGAUGUAGAUGGCGAUGGCUAGGAUCUGCCAACAUCCUUCCUCUUGCUGUUGUCUGAGAGUCCUACAUCGGCCGGCUCCUCAACUGCAGUGCUGGAUGCCGGUCAAACCCCCAACUUCUCGGUGAGUGGCCCUUUCUGCCUCGGAAUCAUCGUGCCGGCUGUUGUUCGCCUGAUGGAGGGCAUCUUGUUGGAUGAGUGAAUGGUUACGGCCGAAGUCUCUUCGACAGAGAGGCGUCGUGCAUGGCAUGUUGAAGAUUUAUCGGCAUGCAUAUUGCCAGAGCUUUCAAGUACGUUCGUAUAUGGUAGCUCUAAGCGCAGCAUUAUGCA